rnacentral:rRNA from 1 species
UACGUAGGGUGCAAGCGUUGUCCGGAAUUAUUGGGCGUAAAGAGCUCGUAGGCGGCUUGUCGCGUCGACUGUGAAAUCCCGCGGCUCAACUGCGGGUCUGCAGUCGAUACGGGCAGGCUAGAGUUCGGUAGGGGAGACUGGAAUUCCUGGUGUAGCGGUGAAAUGCGCAGAUAUCAGGAGGAACACCGGUGGCGAAGGCGGGUCUCUGGGCCGUAACUGACGCUGAGGAGCGAAAGCGUGGGGAGCGAACAGG